rnacentral:lncRNA from 1 species
AUGCUCUUAUCUGAGUGUGACUGCUUUCAAAUAAGGCACUGUGUAUUCCUGUUUGCCUCGUGUGUAUUCCUGUUUGCCUCAUGUGUAUUCCUGUUUGCCUCAUGUGUAUUCCUGUUUGCCUCGUGUGUAUUCCUGUUUGCCUCAUGUGUAUUCCUGUUUGCCUCGUGUGUAUUCCUGUUUGCCUCAUGUGUAUUCCUGUUUGCCUCAUGUGUAUUCCUGUUUGCCUCAUGUGUAUUCCUGUUUGCCUCGUGUGUAUUCCUGUUUGCCUCAUGUGUAUUCCUGUUUGCCUCAUGUGUAUUCCUGUUUGCCUCGUGUGUAUUCCUGUUUGCCUCAUGUGUAUUCCUGUUUGCCUCGUGUAUUCCUGUUUGCCUCAUGUGUAUAUGUGUGUGUAUCCAGUAUGUGAAUAUAUAUGCAGUGUCUGUUUUUUUAUCCUUAAUAUAAGUAGGCAAGUCAGUUAAGAACAAAUUCUUAUUUACAAUGACGGCCUACCGGGGAACAGUGGGUUAACUGCCUUGUUCAGGGGGCAGAACGACAGAUUUUUACCUUGUCAGCUCGGGGAUUCGAUCUUGUAACCUUUCGGUUACUAGUCCAACGCUCUAACCAGUAAGGUACCUGCCGCCACAGGUGUAUGUAGUGUCUGUAUGCAGUGUGUGUAUGCAGUGUGUGUAUGUAGUGUCUGUAUGCAGUGUGUGUAUGCAGUGUGUGUAUGCAGUGUCUGUAUGCAGUGUGUGCAUGUAUGUUUAAUUGUGUCUGUACGCAGUGUGUGUAUGCAGUGUCUGUAUGUAUUGUGUGUAUGCAGUGUGUGUAUACAGUGUGUGUAUGCAGUGUGUGUAUGCAGUGUGUGUAUGCAGUGUGUGUAUGCAGUGUGUGUAUGCAGUGUGUGUAUGUAGUGUCUGUAUGCAGUGUGUGUAUGCAGUGUGUGUAUGUAGUGUGUGUAUGCAGUGUCUGUAUGUAUUGUGUGUAUGCAGUGUGUGUAUGCAGUGUGUGUAUGCAGUGUGUGUAUGUAGUGUGUGUUUGCAGUGUGUGUAUGUAGUGUCUGUAUGCAGUGUGUGUAUGCAGUGUCUGUAUGCAGUGUCUGUAUGCAGUGUGUGUAUGUAGUGUCUGUAUGCAGUGUGUGUAUGCAGUGUGUGUAUGUAGUGUGUGUAUGCAGUGUGUGUAUGUAGUGUGUGUAUGCAGUGUGUGCAUGUAUGUUUAAUUGUGUCUGUACGCAGUGUGUGUAUGCAGUGUGUGUAUGUAGUGUGUGUAUGCAGUGUCUGUAUGUAUUGUGUGUAUGCAGUGUGUGUAUGCAGUGUGUGUAUGCAGUGUGUGUAUGUAGUGUGUGUUUGCAGUGUGUGUAUGUAGUGUCUGUAUGCAGUGUGUGUAUGCAGUGUCUGUAUGCAGUGUCUGUAUGCAGUGUGUGUAUGUAGUGUCUGUAUGCAGUGUGUGUAUGCAGUGUGUGUAUGUAGUGUGUGUAUGCAGUGUGUGUAUGUAGUGUGUGUAUGCAGUGUGUGCAUGUAUGUUUAAUUGUGUCUGUACGCAGUGUGUGCAUGCAGUGUCUGUAUGUAUUGUGUGUAUGCAGUGUGUGUAUGCAGUGUGUGUAUGUGUUCAUAUUUCAGUGUUGUGUGUCUAGGACUAGUGUGGUCCUGAGAAAAGGAAGGCAUAUGGUCGGAAAGGCUUCAAUUCAAUAAGGAUUAUUGAGUGUAA